UCAUGAUCGACUUUACUCUGAGCCUCUUCCAGACUUCAUCAAUGUUUGGGCUUCUCCAGUAGUAGGACUUCUACGGUAACCAGACUCCAUCCAAGUUUCUAUGGUGGUCGACCGCCUUUCAAAUUUCAUUUGAGCUUCUACAGUAAGCGAAUUUUGUCUGAACUUCUAUUGCAAGCAGACUUCAUCCAAGUUUCUACGGUAAGUGGACUCC
rnacentral:lncRNA from 1 species